rnacentral:tRNA from 1 species
CGCGGGCCAGCAGGUACGGACGCUCCAGCGGGCGGACGGCCCGCUCGACGCCGGCCCAGUCGGCGACGGUGUCCCGGUCCUCGGCCCGCAGC